rnacentral:snoRNA from 1 species
ACUCUAGGUCCCUUACCCUCAGAUCUAAACAUUAUUCCAGGCGGCUAUAAAAGAAAGGAAAGGAAAAGUGAAGUGGACUUGGAUUCUUUGGUGAUAUACAAGUUCAUUUCAAACAAAU